rnacentral:lncRNA from 1 species
GUCAGACCUAGGCUCUCGCAGAGAACUGCAUCGCGCUCCCAGCUCUGCUGCCUCGGUGCGGGGACGGGGCUCUGCAUGAGGACUGGGAAUGUAAGUCCCGGGCCUGGACAGGCGCCCCUGGGAGCUAGCCUGGAGGAGAUUCAGUAGAAGGCUGAGGAGUCGGCUUGGAGGGUCUCGGCAAGGCGGCGCGGAUGGAGAUGAAGCUGCGAAGAAUGCUGAGAAAGAGCGGCCGGGGGCCUUGGAGGGAAGCUAGGGAAACGCUGCGGGGGCAGCCGAGGCCGUCGGCGCCCCGGGAGAAG